UUCCGGUUGAUCCCGCCGGACCUGACUGCUAUCGGAUUGGUACUAAGCCAUGCGAGUCGUUGUAGCAAUACAAGGCGGACGGCUCAGUAACACGUAGUCAACCUAACCUAUGGACGUGGAUAACCUCGGGAAACUGAGAAUAAACCGCGAUAGAUCAUUAUGCCUGGAAUGGCUUAUGGUUCAAACAAUUUAUUGCCGUAGGAUGGGACUGCGGCCUAUCAGCUUGUUGGUGAGGUAAUGGCCCACCAAGGCUAUAACAGGUACGGGCUCUGAGAGGAGAAGCCCGGAGAUGGGUACUGAGACACGGACCCAGGCCCUAUGGGGCGCAGCAGGCGAGAAACCUUAGCAAUGUGCGAAAGCACGACUAGGUUAAUCCGAGUGAUUUCUGUCGAAGAAGUCUUUUGUCAGUCGUAAAACCACAGACGAAUAAGGGGUGGGCAAGUCUGGUGUCAGCCGCCGCGGUAAUACCAGCACCUCGAGUGGUCAGGAGGUUUAUUGGGCCUAAAGCAUCCGUAGCCGGCUUUGCAAGUCUCCGGUUAAAUCCAGCUGCUCAACAGAUGGGCUGCCGGAGAUACUACAAAGCUAGGGAGCGGGAGAGGUAGACGGUAUUCGGUGGGUAGGGGUAAAAUCCACUGAUCCAUCGAGGACCACCAGUGGCGAAGGCGGUCUACCAGAACGCGUUCGACGGUGAGGGAUGAAAGCUGGGGGAGCAAACCGGAUUAGAUACCCGGGUAGUCCCAGCUGUAAACGAUGCAAACUCGGUGAUGCAUUGGCUUAUGGCCAAUGCAGUGCCGCAGGGAAGCCGUUAAGUUUGCCGCCUGGGAAGUACGGACGCAAGUCUGAAACUUAAAGGAAUUGGCGGGGGAGCACCACAAGGGGUGAAGCCUGCGGUUCAAUUGGAGUCAACGCCGGG
rnacentral:rRNA from 1 species